UACAUGUGGGGCGAGCGUUGUUCGGAAUUACUGGGCAUAAAGGGUGCGUAGGCGGCAUGCCAAGUCGCUGGUGAAAGUUCGCGGCCCAACCGCGAAAUGGCCGGUGAUACUGGCGUGCUUGAGUGCGUGAGGGGUCGGGGGAACGAGUGGUGUAGCGGUGAAAUGCGUAGAGAUCACUCGGAAGGCCAGAGCCGAAGGGGCCCGACUGGUACGCAACUGACGCUGAGGCACGAAAGCGUGGGGAGCAAACAGG
rnacentral:rRNA from 1 species